rnacentral:rRNA from 1 species
UACAUACCGCCCGUCACACCAUGGGAGUUGGUUCUACCCGAAGGCGCUGCACUAACCCGCAAGGGAGGCAGGCGACCACGGUAGGGUCAGCGACUGGGGUG